rnacentral:tRNA from 1 species
CAGAGAGUAGUUUAAGUUAGAAUCCUAGCUUUGGGAGUUAGGGGCAGGUGUUAGAAUCACCUCUUUCUGA